GAUGAACGCUGACAGAAUGCUUAACACAUGCAAGUCAACUUGAACUUCGGUUUGGGUGGCGGACGGGUGAGUAACGCGUAAAGAACUUGCCUCACAGAUAGGGACAACAUUUGGAAACGAAUGCUAAUACCUGAUAUUAUGAUUUUAGGGCAUCCUAGGAUUAUGAAAGCUAUAUGCGCUGUGGGAGAGCUUUGCGUCCCAUUAGCUAGUUGGAGAGGUAACGGCUCACCAAGGCGAUGAUGGGUAGCCGGCCUGAGAGGGUGAUCGGCCACAAGGGGACUGAGACACGGCCCUUACUCCUACGGGAGGCAGCAGUGGGGAAUAUUGGACAAUGGACCAAGAGUCUGAUCCAGCAAUUCUGUGUGCACGAUGAAGUUUUUCGGAAUGUAAAGUGCUUUCAGUUGGGAAGAAAAAAAUGACGGUACCAACAGAAGAAGUGACGGCUAAAUACGUGCCAGCAGCCGCGGUAAUACGUAUGUCACAAGCGUUAUCCGGAUUUAUUGGGCGUAAAGCGCGUCUAGGUGGUUAUGUAAGUCUGAUGUGAAAAUGCAGGGCUCAACUCUGUAUUGCGUUGGAAACUGUGUAACUAGAGUACUGGAGAGGUAAGCGGAACUACAAGUGUAGAGGUGAAAUUCGUAGAUAUUUGUAGGAAUGCCGAUGGGGAAGCCAGCUUACUGGACAGAUACUGACGCUGAAGCGCGAAAGCGUGGGUAGCAAACAGG
rnacentral:rRNA from 1 species